GCCACUUUAGCUCAGCUGGUAGAGCAACGCAUUCGUAAUGCGUAGGUCCGCGGUUCGAAUCCGCGAAGUGGCU
rnacentral:tRNA from 1 species